CAAGAAGCGGGGAGAACGCUCCGCUAAAGUUAACUGUAGUCUCUCCGGGGGAUAGAUAUAGAAACUCAGUAGCGCCGAUGG
rnacentral:rRNA from 1 species